AAGAAACAGAACAUUCAGGCUCCCCAAAUGUCUCUUGUGUCCUCAUCCAGGAGCUACCGAUCCCCCCACUAUCCUGACUUCUAAUAGCAGGGACUAUUGUUCUGGACGCACAUCUGGAGACACCUGUCUUUCUACGCCAGGACCUUUGUUAUCAGAGCGGAUUCAUCUGACCCUACAUCCCAAGGAGACAGAAUCCUCAGAAGAACCUUGGUGAAUUGCCUUUCGCCCCUUCGAAGUCCCAAGCCACUACUCCCAACAUCCUCUGCUGUCUUUAGCUGAAGGUGACAUUUAAAGUGAGGACUUUGGCCAUUUUGAUGAAGCUCUUGGUGCUGUGCUUUAGAACAGACGAAAUAGCCUCCGCCCACACAGAAAUGAGCCAAUGUCCAGGAAAGGACACAGGGCGGCUUGUGAACUUUUGGGACACUCUGCUUCUGGCCGCAUCUGACUCAGCCAGUGACCUCAGAAAGAGGCUCAGCCUCCUAGGAAUUCCGUCCUGCAUCUCCUCCAAAUACGCAUCCACGUGCGUGAGGCUGGAAUCCCCGUGGUCAUUGGGAGGAGGCCGUGCAGACACGGAGGUUCUUGCUCAGGCUGGGAGUCCCUCUGGGGCUAUGUCUUCUGGUCCUCAGUGUGUGCUCACCCAGCUUCUCUCUUCUGUGGAGCAGGCACCAGGCCCAGAGUCUGGGGGAUGCAGGCAGGGAGAGGCCCUCCCCACCUCAUGAACCACCCAUCUUCUCGCGGCAUUAACUCCGAAGACUGAUCCUGGCCAUGUGAUGUGAUGCAUUAAGCACUUCACUGCUCCCACAGCCUCCCAGACACGCGGGUAAGGAGGUGCCCACUGCAGCGUGGAGAGAGUCAGAGCAUGUCUGAUGCCCGGCACGUUCCACCCCCUCCCGCAGCAGGUAUUCAACACCACUUGCCUUCACUGACAGCCUGGGAGCGCUGCGCCCUCGCUGCCUCUUGCUCUUAGGGCAAGUGCUUAAACUCCCCUCUCACUGGACCAAGGGCCAGGCCCCACCCCAGGAAAUAAGUUUUUCCCAUUAA